GAGUUUGAUCCUGGCUCAGGAUGAACGCUAGCGGCAGGCCUAACACAUGCAAGUCGAGGGGUAACAGAGGAGCUUGCUUCUGCUGACGACCGGCGCACGGGUGCGUAACGCGUAUAGAAUCUACCUUAUACUAAGGGAUAGCCUUUGGAAACGAAGAUUAAUACCUUAUAGUAUAUCGACUCGGCAUCGGGAUGAUAUUAAAGACUGCGGUAUAAGAUGACUAUGCGUUCUAUUAACUAGAUGGUGUGGUAACGGCACACCAUGGCAACGAUAGAUAGGGGCCCUGAGAGGGGGAUCCCCCACACUGGUACUGAGACACGGACCAGACUCCUACGGGAGGCAGCAGUGAGGAAUAUUGGACAAUGGAGGCAACUCUGAUCCAGCCAUGCCGCGUGCAGGAAGACUGCCCUAUGGGUUGUAAACUGCUUUUAUACAGGAAGAAACAUCUCUACGUGUCGAGACUUGACGGUACUGUAAGAAUAAGGAUCGGCUAACUCCGUGCCAGCAGCCGCGGUAAUACGGAGGAUCCAAGCGUUAUCCGGAAUCAUUGGGUUUAGAGGGUCCGUAGGUGGAUAAUUAAGUCAGAGGUGAAAUCCUGCAGCUCAACUGUAGAAUUGCCUUUGAUACUGGUUGUCUUGAGUUAUUAUGAAGUAGUUAGAAUAUGUAGUGUAGCGGUGAAAUGCAUAGAUAUUACAUAGAAUACCAAUUGCGAAGGCAGAUUACUAAUAAUCAACUGACACUGAUGGACGAAAGCGUGGGGAGCGAACAGGAUUAGAUACCCUGGUAGUCCACGCCGUAAACGAUGGUCACUAGCUGUUCGAGCUUCGGUUUGAGCGGCUAAGCGAAAGUGAUAGGUGACCCACCUGGGGAGUACGUUCGCAAGAAUGAAACUCAAAGGAAUUGACG
rnacentral:rRNA from 1 species